rnacentral:rRNA from 1 species
UACGUAGGGUGCAAGCGUUGUCCGGAAUUAUUGGGCGUAAAGAGCUCGUAGGCGGUCUGUCGCGUCGGCUGUGAAAACCCGGAGCUCAACUCCGGGCCUGCAGUCGAUACGGGCAAACUGGAGUGUUGCAGGGGAGACUGGAAUUCCUGGUGUAGCGGUGAAAUGCGCAGAUAUCAGGAGGAACACCGGCGGCGAAGGCGGGGUCUCUGGGCAACAACUGACGCUGAGGAGCGAAAGCGUGGGGAGCAACAGG